AUUGAACGCUGGCGGCAUGUCUUACACAUGCAAGUCGAACGGCAGCACGGGAGCAAUCCUGGUGGCGAGUGGCGAACGGGUGAGUAAUAUAUCGGAACGUGCCCAGUCGUGGGGGAUAACGCAGCGAAAGCUGUGCUAAUACCGCAUACGAUCUACGGAUGAAAGCGGGGGAUCGCAAGACCUCGCGCGAUUGGAGCGGCCGAUAUCAGAUUAGCUAGUUGGUGGGGUAAAAGCCCACCAAGGCGACGAUCUGUAGCUGGUCUGAGAGGACGACCAGCCACACUGGAACUGAGACACGGUCCAGACUCCUACGGGAGGCAGCAGUGGGGAAUUUUGGACAAUGGGCGCAAGCCUGAUCCAGCAAUGCCGCGUGCAGGAUGAAGGCCUUCGGGUUGUAAACUGCUUUUGUACGGAACGAAACGGCUCUUUCUAAUAAAGAGGGCUAAUGACGGUACCGUAAGAAUAAGCACCGGCUAACUACGUGCCAGCCGCCGCAGUAA
rnacentral:rRNA from 1 species